rnacentral:rRNA from 1 species
GCGGCGGACGGGUGAGUAACGCGUGGGAAUAUGCCCUUUGGUACGGAACAGUCCCGGGAAACUGGGUUUAAUACCGUAUGUGGUCCUUCGUAGUGGAUACGGGGGACGAAAGAUUUAUCGCCAAAGGAUUAGCCCGCGUUGGAUUAGGUAGUUGGUGGGGUAACGGCCUACCAAGCCGACGAUCCAUAGCUGGUUUGAGAGGAUGAUCAGCCACACUGGGACUGAGACACGGCCCAGACUCCUACGGGAGGCAGCAGUGGGGAAUCUUAGACAAUGGGGGCAACCCUGAUCUAGCCAUGCCGCGUGAGUGAUGAAGGCCUUAGGGUUGUAAAGCUCUUUCAGCUGGGAAGAUAAUGACGGUACCAGCAGAAGAAGCCCCGGCUAACUCCGUGCCAGCAGCCGCGGUAAUACGGAGGGGGCUAGCGUUGUUCGGAAUUACUGGGCGUAAAGCGCAUGUAGGCGGACCAGAAAGUUGGGGGUGAAAUCCCGGGGCUCAACCCCGGAACGGCCUUCAAAACUAUUGGUCUGGAGUUCGAGAGAGGUGAGUGGAAUUCCGAGUGUAGAGGUGAAAUUCGUAGAUAUUCGGAGGAACACCAGUGG